rnacentral:rRNA from 1 species
AGAGUUUGAUCAUGGCUCAGAUUGAACGCUGGCGGCAUGCCUUACACAUGCAAGUCGAACGGCAGCGCGGGGCAACCUGGCGGCGAGUGGCGAACGGGUGAGUAAUAUAUCGGAACGUGCCCUGGAGUGGGGGAUAACGCAGCGAAAGUUGCGCUAAUACCGCAUACGAUCUAAGGAUGAAAGCAGGGGACCGCAAGGCCUUGUGCUCCUGGAGCGGCCGAUAUCUGAUUAGCUAGUUGGUGGGGUAAAGGCCUACCAAGGCAUCGAUCAGUAGCUGGUCUGAGAGGACGACCAGCCACACUGGAACUGAGACACGGUCCAGACUCCUACGGGAGGCAGCAGUGGGGAAUUUUGGACAAUGGGCGAAAGCCUGAUCCAGCAAUGCCGCGUGAGUGAAGAAGGCCUUCGGGUUGUAAAGCUCUUUUGUCAGGGAAGAAACGGUGUGGGCUAAUAUCCCGCACUAAUGACGGUACCUGAAGAAUAAGCACCGGCUAACUACGUGCCAGCAGCCGCGGUAAUACGUAGGGUGCAAGCGUUAAUCGGAACUACUGGGCGUAAAGCGUGCGCAGGCGGUUUUGUAAGUUUGUCGUGAAAGCCCCGGGCUCAACCUGGGAAUUGCGAUGAAGACUGCAAGGCUUGAAUCUGGCAGAGGGGGGUAGAAUUCCACGUAGCAGUGAAAUGCGUAGAGAUGUGGAGGAACACCGAUGGCGAAGGCAGCCCCCUGGGUCAAGAUUGACGCUCAUGCACGAAAGCGUGGGGAGCAAACAGGAUUAGAUACCCUAGUAGUCC